rnacentral:rRNA from 1 species
UACGUAGGGUGCAAGCGUUGUCCGGAAUUAUUGGGCGUAAAGAGCUCGUAGGCGGUCUGUCGCGUCGGAUGUGAAAACCCAGGGCUCAACCCUGGGCCUGCAUUCGAUACGGGCAGACUAGAGUUCGGUAGGGGAGACUGGAAUUCCUGGUGUAGCGGUGAAAUGCGCAGAUAUCAGGAGGAACACCUGUGGCGAAGGCGGCCGGCUGAGGGUGCCCUGACGCUGAGGCGCGAAAGCGUGGGGAGCGAACCGG